CAUUUGAGGGAUGUUCCAAUGUUAUAAGGAUAGACAUUGGAAAUGUUAACCGAGUCAUAAUCAGGUUUAGGCCUGGUAUCCUAUUAUUAUUUACCAAAUGAAUUCAGAAUUAAUAUUGUAACAUAGACCUAAAAAAUCUAUAAAACAACUUUUAACAACGGAUCUCUUGGUUCUCGCAUCGAUGAAGAACGUAGCAAAGUGCGAUAACUAGUGUGAAUUGCAUAUUCAGUGAAUCAUCGAGUCUUUGAACGCAACUUGCGCUCAUUGGUAUUCCAAUGAGCACGCCUGUUUCAGUAUCAAAACAAACCCUCUAUCCAACUUUUGUUGUAUAGGAUUAUUGGGGGCCUCUCGAUCUGUAUAGAUCUUGAAAUCCCUGAAAUUUACUAAGGCCUGAACUUGUUUAAAUGCCUGAACUUUUUUUUAAUAUAAAGGAAAGCUCUUGUAAUUGACUUUGAUGGGGCCUCCCAAAUAAAUCUUUUUUAAAUUUGAUCUGAAAUCAGGCGGGAUUACCCGCUGAACUUAA
rnacentral:rRNA from 1 species